AUUGAACGCUGGCGGCAGGCUUAACACAUGCAAGUCGAGCGGGGUGAGGUGCUUCGGUACUGAUCCUAGCGGCGGACGGGUGAGUAAUGCUUAGGAAUCUGCCUAUUAGUGGGGGACAACAUUCCGAAAGGAAUGCUAAUACCGCAUACGCCCUACGGGGGAAAGCAGGGGAUCUUCGGACCUUGCGCUAAUAGAUGAGCCUAAGUCGGAUUAGGUAGUUGGUGGGGUAAAGGCCUACCAAGGCGACGAUCUGUAGCGGGUCUGAGAGGAUGAUCCGCCACACUGGGACUGAGACACGGCCCAGACUCCUACGGGAGGCAGCAGUGGGGAAUAUUGGACAAUGGGGGGAACCCUGAUCCAGCCAUGCCGCGUGUGUGAAGAAGGCCUUUUGGUUGUAAAGCACUUUAAGCGGGGAGGAGGCUCUUGAGGAUAAUACCCUUGAAGAGUGGACGUUACCCGCAGAAUAAGCACCGGCUAACUCUGUGCCAGCCGCCGCAGUAACAC
rnacentral:rRNA from 1 species